rnacentral:rRNA from 1 species
UACGUAGGGGGCAAGCGUUGUCCGGAUUUAUUGGGCGUAAAGCGCUCGCAGGUGGUUCGUCGCGUCGUGCGUGAAAGACCCCGGCUCAACUGGGGGAUGUCGUGCGAUACGGGCGAACUGGAGGCCAGUAGGGGGAUGCGGAAUUCCGGGUGUAGUGGUGGAAUGCGUAGAGAUCCGGAGGACACCAGCGGCGAAGGCGGCAUCCUGGACUGGUCCUGACACUCAUGAGCGAAAGCGUGGGGAGCGAGUCCGG